CCUACGGGGGGCAGCAGUAGGGAAUAUUGCUCAAUGGGGGAAACCCUGAAGCAGCAACGCCGCGUGGAGGAUGAAGGUUUUCGGAUUGUACACUCCUUUUGUUAGAGAAGAUAAUGACGGUAUCUAACGAAUAAGCACCGGCUAACUCCGUGCCAGCAGCCGCGGUAAUACGGAGGGUGCAAGCGUUACUCGGAAUCACUGGGCGGAAAGAGCGCGUAGGCGGGAUAGCAAGUCAGAUGUGAAAUCCUAUGGCUUAACCAUAGAACUGCAUUUGAAACUGUUAUUCUAGAGUAUGGGAGAGGUAGGUGGAAUGCUUGGUGUAGGGGUAAAAUCCGUAGAGAUCAAGAGGAAUACUCAUUGCGAAGGCGACCUGCUAGAACAUAACUGACGCUGAUGCGCGAAAGCGUGGGGAGCAAACAGGAUUAGAUACCCGAGUAGUC
rnacentral:rRNA from 1 species